CUGGCGGCGGCUACACAUGCAGUCGAGCGGAUGAAGGGAGCUUGCUCCUGGAUUCAGCGGCGGACGGGUGAGUAAUGCCUAGGAAUCUGCCUGGUAGUGGGGGAUAACGUCCGGAAACGGGCGCUAAUACCGCAUACGUCCUGAGGGAGAAAGUGGGGGAUCUUCGGACCUCACGCUAUCAGAUGAGCCUAGGUCGGAUUAGCUAGUUGGUGGGGUAAAGGCCUACCAAGGCGACGAUCCGUAACUGGUCUGAGAGGAUGAUCAGUCACACUGGAACUGAGACACGGUCCAGACUCCUACGGGAGGCAGCAGUGGGGAAUAUUGGACAAUGGGCGAAAGCCUGAUCCAGCCAUGCCGCGUGUGUGAAGAAGGUCUUCGGAUUGUAAAGCACUUUAAGUUGGGAGGAAGGGCAGUAAGUUAAUACCUUGCUGUUUUGACGUUACCAACAGAAUAAGCACCGGCUAACUUCGUGCCAGCAGCCGCGGUAAUACGAAGGGUGCAAGCGUUAAUCGGAAUUACUGGGCGUAAAGCGCGCGUAGGUGGUUCAGCAAGUUGGAUGUGAAAUCCCCGGGCUCAACCUGGGAACUGCAUCCAAAACUACUGAGCUAGAGUACGGUAGAGGGUGGGUGGAAUUUCCUGUGUAGCGGUGAAAUGCGUAGAUAUAGGAAGGAACACCAGUGGCGAAGGCGACCACCUGGACUGAUACUGACACUGAGGUGCGAAAGCGUGGGGAGCAAACAGGAUUAGAUACCCCUGGUAGUCCACGCCGUAAACGAUGUCGACUAGCCGUUGGGAUCCUUGAGAUCUUAGUGGCGCAGCUAACGCGAUAAGUCGACGCCCUGGGGGAGUACGGCCGCAAAGGUAAAACUCAAAUGAAUUUGACCGGGGCCGCACAGGGUGAAAGACAUGGGUGGGGUUAUAAUUCGAAGCAACGCGAGAACCUUACCUGGCCUUGACAUGCUGAGACUUCACAGAAAAAGAGAGUGUGUGGCCUCUCGGGGAAUCAUAACACCAAGUGCUUGCAUGGGCUGUCGUCAGCCUGCGCGG
rnacentral:rRNA from 1 species